rnacentral:rRNA from 1 species
AGACCCGAAACCCGGUGAUCUAGCCAUGGGCAGGUUGAAGGUUGGGUAACACUAACUGGAGGACCGAACCGACUAAUGUUGAAAAAUUAGCGGAUGACCUGUGGCUGGGGGUGAAAGGCCAAUCAAACCGGGAGAUAGCUGGUUCUCCCCGAAAGCUAUUUAGGUAGCGCCUCGUGAAUUCAUCUCCGGGGGUAGAGCACUGUUUCGGCUAGGGGGCCAUCCCGGCUUACCAACCCGAUGCAAACUGCGAAUACCGGAGAAUGUUAUCACGGGAGACACACGGCGGGUGCUAACGUCCGUCGUGAAGAGGGAAACAACCCAGACCGCCAGCUAAGGUCCCAAAGUCAUGGUUAAGUGGGAAACGAUGUGGGAAGGCCCAGACAGCCAGGAUGUUGGCUUAGAAGCAGCCAUCAUUUAAAGAAAGCGUAAUAGCUCACUGGUCGAGUCGGCCUGCGCGGAAGAUGUAACGGGGCUAAACCAUGCACCGAAGCUGCGGCAGCGACACUGUGUGUUGUUGGGUAGGGGAGCGUUCUGUAAGCCUGUGAAGGUGUGUCGUGAGGCAUGCUGGAGGUAUCAGAAGUGCGAAUGCUGACAUAAGUAACGAUAAAGCGGGUGAAAAGCCCGCUCGCCGGAAGACCAAGGGUUCCUGUCCAACGUUAAUCGGGGCAGGGUGAGUCGACCCCUAAGGCGAGGCCGAAAGGCGUAGUCGAUGGGAAACGGGUUAAUAUUCCCGUACUUGGUGUUACUGCGAAGGGGGGACGGAGAAGGCUAUGUUGGCCGGGCGACGGUUGUCCCGGUUUAAGCGUGUAGGUGUGUGUUCCAGGUAAAUCCGGUUCACUUUAACACUGAGGCGUGAUGACGAGGCACUACGGUGCUGAAGUGACAAAUGCCCUGCUUCCAGGAAAAGCCUCUAAGCAUCAGGUAACAUCAAAUCGUACCCCAAACCGACACAGGUGGUCAGGUAGAGAAUACCAAGGCGCUUGAGAGAACUCGGGUGAAGGAACUAGGCAAAAUGGUGCCGUAACUUCGGGAGAAGGCACGCUGACACGUAGGUGAAGUGAUUUACUCACGGAGCUGAAGUCAGUCGAAGAUACCAGCUGGCUGCAACUGUUUAUUAAAAACACAGCACUGUGCAAACACGAAAGUGGACGUAUACGGUGUGACGCCUGCCCGGUGCCGGAAGGUUAAUUGAUGGGGUCAGCGCAAGCGAAGCUCCUGAUCGAAGCCCCGGUAAACGGCGGCCGUAACUAUAACGGUCCUAAGGUAGCGAAAUUCCUUGUCGGGUAAGUUCCGACCUGCACGAAUGGCGUAAUGAUGGCCAGGCUGUCUCCACCCGAGACUCAGUGAAAUUGAACUCGCUGUGAAGAUGCAGUGUACCCGCGGCAAGACGGAAAGACCCCGUGAACCUUUACUAUAGCUUGACACUGAACAUUGAGCCUUGAUGUGUAGGAUAGGUGGGAGGCUUUGAAGCGUGGACGCCAGUCUGCGUGGAGCCGACCUUGAAAUACCACCCUUUAAUGUUUGAUGUUCUAACGUGGACCCGUAAUCCGGGUUGCGGACAGUGUCUGGUGGGUAGUUUGACUGGGGCGGUCUCCUCCUAAAGAGUAACGGAGGAGCACGAAGGUUGGCUAAUCCUGGUCGGACAUCAGGAGGUUAGUGCAAUGGCAUAAGCCAGCUUGACUGCGAGCGUGACGGCGCGAGCAGGUGCGAAAGCAGGUCAUAGUGAUCCGGUGGUUCUGAAUGGAAGGGCCAUCGCUCAACGGAUAAAAGGUACUCCGGGGAUAACAGGCUGAUACCGCCCAAGAGUUCAUAUCGACGGCGGUGUUUGGCACCUCGAUGUCGGCUCAUCACAUCCUGGGGCUGAAGUAGGUCCCAAGGGUAUGGCUGUUCGCCAUUUAAAGUGGUACGCGAGCUGGGUUUAGAACGUCGUGAGACAGUUCGGUCCCUAUCUGCCGUGGGCGCUGGAGAACUGAGGGGGGCUGCUCCUAGUACGAGAGGACCGGAGUGGACGCAUCACUGGUGUUCGGGUUGUCAUGCCAAUGGCACUGCCCGGUAGCUAAAUGCGGAAGAGAUAAGUGCUGAAAGCAUCUAAGCACGAAACUUGCCCCGAGAUGAGUUCUCCCUGAGACUUUAGGUCUCCUGAAGGAACGUUGAAGACGACGACGUUGAUAGGCCGGGUGUGUAAGCGCAGCGAUGCGUUGAGCUAACCGGUACUAAUGAACCGUGAGGCUUAACCUUACA